GCUGAGCAGUGGCGGUGCCUGUAGUCCCAGCUACUCGGGAGGCUGAGGCUGGAGGAUCGCUGGAGCCCAGGAGUUCUGGGCUGUAGUGCGCUAUGCCGACCGCAUGUCCGCACUAAGUUCGGCGUCAAUAUGGUGACCUCCUGGGAGCAGGGGACCACCAGGUUGCCUAAGGAGAGGUGAACCUGCCCAGGUCAGAAUUGGAGUAGGUCAAAACUCCCGUGCUGAUCAGUAGUGGGGUCUCGCCUGUGAAUAGUCACUGCACUCCAGCCCGGGCAACAUAGUGAGACCCCGUCUCU
rnacentral:SRP_RNA from 1 species